rnacentral:rRNA from 1 species
UUCCAAAAACAUCGCCUUCUGACACUCAUAGAAGGUCCAGCCUGCCCAGUGACUAAGUUAAACGGCCGCGGUACCCUAACCGUGCAAAGGUAGCGCAAUCACUUGUUCUUUAAAUGAGGACUAGUAUGAACGGCAUCACGAGGGUUACACUGUCUCCCUAUUCCAUUCAGUGAAACUGAUCUUCCCGUGAAGAAGCGGGAAUAUAAAUAUAAGACGAGAAGACCCCAUGGAGCUUUAAACUCAGUGUCAUCUGCCACUUCAAUAUCCUCUUAAUUACGCAGACCAUGAUAACUAGUUUUCGGUUGGGGUGACCGCGGAGUAAAACAAAACCUCCACAACGAAAGGAACUAACAACCUAAUCCAAGAGCAACAUCUCUAAGAAUCAACAAAUUGACUUAAUUGAUCCAAUUACUUGAUCAACGAACCAAGUUACCCUGGGGAUAACAGCGCAAUCCAUUUCAAGAGCUCAUAUCGACAAAUGGGUUUACGACCUCGAUGUUGGAUCAGGGUAUCCCAGUGGCGCAGCAGCUACUAACGG